rnacentral:lncRNA from 1 species
UCUUUUCUGAUCCUGCAGAAUGGAAAACGGCACUCUGCCUUUCAUCUGGCUCUGCCUGGAAAUAUGGAAGGUAAAAUAAGAAGGGCACACAUGAUUCCACCCUGAAGAGUUUGGUAACCUCGAGGAGUUAGAAAGCCUGAUCAGUGACGAUAUCCAUGCCACAACCUGAUGUUGCAGGGAAAUUACAUUUUCUAGGUUUCCUCUUGAGGCAUCAAGUGAACCCUGCAUUCAGUGGCCUUUUGCUCCACAUUAGCCAUUGGAAUGGAGAGUAACAUGGAGGAGGCCUUCAUCAAUCUCUCUCCAAAGAGCUGGGGCAAUCAUAUCUCUGUCACAUUUCUGCUUUGACACAGAGGAUAAAAAUGAAUGGACAGUAUUAGUGUCUUCCUCCCCCAGAGCUCAUCAAAGUAGACCAGUCUGGCAUGGACUCAGCGUCAGUGGGCUCAAGAAAGGAAGUGAAGAAGUCCCAUGGCAGGGAUAUCACCGGUUUCUCAGACCACCAAGACAAGCUUCAAGUGUUUGGACAGCAGAACUAGAGUCUUCCUGCAAGACUCCUAACACCUGAGUUUCCAGAGUGCUGCCAAACAUCACACAGAACAGGCAAAUGUGUUCCUGAUGGAUCCACAUGAACCAAUGCAGAAAUCAAUGGCUCCAUGGUACUUUGAGGUGCUGACACUUUCUUCUCUUUCAUAUCAUGGCAUAAACUGAAGGAAUUUGCUGUUGUGCCAGUCAGUGGAGCGAUCAGGGAAGGCAGUUUAAACUAAACUCUAACAAUAUAGGUAUUAAUAUUAGUCUUAUUUUAUUAUAAUAUUGUAUUAUAUAACAUCCUACUGUGUUUCUUAAGAAGAUACUUUGAUAGUUUCUCUACACUGAUCUGAAGAUGACAUAGCUGUUCCAUUAUACACCUAGACACUGGGUGUUAAGAGAAGAGCUCUGCUCUGAAAAGCCAUACCUAUCAAUACUCUUCAUUAUUUUUUCUAUUUUGUGACCUUCUUUCCAAUUUUGUGAUCACCUCAACAUACAUUUUGAUGGAGUGAAAAUACAUUUUGCUGGAGUGCAAGUAAUUUCCUUUCUCUCUUUAAAGCUAGUCUGGCAAUAGAGAGGAUAUGGAUGGACACUGGGUGAUUUGUUUGACCUGGUUACAGCCGGAGGUGUACAGCCUUCUGGUGUCCA